AUGAACGCUAGCUACAGGCUUAACACAUGCAAGUCGAGGGGCAGCAUGGUCUUAGCUUGCUAAGGCCGAUGGCGACCGGCGCACGGGUGAGUAACGCGUAUCCAACCUGCCUUACACUCUUGGACAGCCUUCUGAAAGGGAGAUUAAUACAAGAUGUUAUCAUGAGUAAGCAUUUUCGCAUGAUUAAAGGUUUACCGGUGUAAGAUGGGGAUGCGUUCCAUUAGAUAGUAGGCGGGGUAACGGCCCACCUAGUCUUCGAUGGAUAGGGGUUCUGAGAGGAAGGUCCCCCACAUUGGAACUGAGACACGGUCCAAACUCCUACGGGAGGCAGCAGUGAGGAAUAUUGGUCAAUGGACGAGAGUCUGAACCAGCCAAGUAGCGUGAAGGAUGAAGGUUCUAUGGAUUGUAAACUUCUUUUAUACGGGAAUAAACGGAUCCACGUGUGGAUUUUUGCAUGUACCGUAUGAAUAAGGAUCGGCUAACUCCGUGCCAGCAGCCGCGGUAAUACGGAGGAUCCGAGCGUUAUCCGGAUUUAUUGGGUUUAAAGGGAGCGUAGAUUGGUUGUUAAGUCAGUUGUGAAAGUUUGCGGCUCAACCGUAAAAUUGCAAUUGAUACUGGCAGUCUUGAGUACAGUUGAGGUAGGCGGAAUUCGUGGUGUAGCGGUGAAAUGCUUAGAUAUCACGAAGAACUCCGAUUGCGAAGGCAGCUUACUAACCUGUAACUGACAUUGAUGCUCGAAAGUGUGGGUAUCAAACAGGAUUAGAUACCCUGGUAGUCCACACGGUAAACGAUGAAUACUCGCUGUAGGCGAUAUACAGUCUGCGGCCAAGCGAAAGCAUUAAGUAUUCCACCUGGGGAGUACGCCGGCAACGGUGAAACUCAAAGGAAUUGACGGGGGCCCGCACAAGCGGAGGAACAUGUGGUUUAAUUCGAUGAUACGCGAGGAACCUUACCCGGGCUUAAAUUGCAACCGAAUAUGGCGGAAACGCUAUAGCUAGCAAUAGCGGUUGUGAAGGUGCUGCAUGGUUGUCGUCAGCUCGUGCCGUGAGGUGUCGGCUUAAGUGCCAUAACGAGCGCAACCCUUGCCGAUAGUUACUAACAGGUUAUGCUGAGGACUCUGUCGGGACUGCCAUCGUAAGAUGUGAGGAAGGUGGGGAUGACGUCAAAUCAGCACGGCCCUUACGUCCGGGGCUACACACGUGUUACAAUGGGGGGUACAGAGGGCUGCUACCACGCAAGUGGAUGCCAAUCCCAAAAACCUCUCUCAGUUCGGAUUGAAGUCUGCAACCCGACUUCAUGAAGCUGGAUUCGCUAGUAAUCGCGCAUCAGCCACGGCGCGGUGAAUACGUUCCCGGGCCUUGUACACACCGCCCGUCAAGCCAUGGGAGCCGGGGGUACCUGAAGUGCGUAACCGCAAGGAGCGCCCUAGGGUAAAACUGGUGACUGGGGCU
rnacentral:rRNA from 1 species